ACCUAUAGAGCAAGUAAAAAGAAUGAUUGAAUAUUUUUUUGUUGAUAUUUUAGUGUUAAUGCAUAAGUGCUUCUGAUUUUAAAUCGAGAAAAGAAUUUCUCUUCUGAGAAGCGUUCUAACUGUCAUUUUCAUGCCAAUAAAACUGUUUUUAAUAGCUUUUAAAAAACUUCGGGUUAGCACAUUUUAAGAGUACCUGCCCAUUUUAGAGUAAAACUGCUGCGUGUUGUUAUCAGGCUUCCUGAGUUUUUUUUAAGUUAGCUAACUCUCAACGACAACUUACAGCAGUUUUAAAACAUAUUUGUUGACUUUUAAAAAUUUUGUAUUGGGAACAUUUUUUUACGUUGAACUAGACGAGUAAAAAAAUUUGAACAAUCCUUCUUACAGGCGGACAUACAAAACUCCAAAGGAAACAAUCACAAUUCGCAAUUCGGUGGGACAUUACUCAACAAUUGCAUUAUGAACUUAUAUCCCAUUCAAGACAUUUAAACAAAAGUCUGUGUUGCUUUGACCCGUUCCAGACAAUCUUGUUGACCCGAGAUACCUAUUCCAAUACGCAAAAAGCAAUCAAAACAAAUAUCUGUACUAACAUCGCCAUUUUGUAAUUAACGAGUCAAUAUCCAUCAAAAGUGUCAACAUUUGAUGAGGUUGACUAAAACGAGGUUCAUCCCUGUAGAAAUUAAUCAUAAUGGCUCCUUGCAUUGCUCUGUGGCUAAAUCGACGAUCACCACGUGACACCAUUGCAUUGUGUACAUUUGGAUCGAAAAUACUGCGAUAGACUUCACGGCGCUUUUCAAUAUCCAUAAGUCG